rnacentral:rRNA from 1 species
GAGCACGUAGGUGGGUUUGUAAGUCAGAUGUGAAAGCCUUCUGUUCAACGGAAGAAUUGCAUCUGAAACUGCGAGUCUUGAGUGUAGGAGGGGAGAAUGGAACUUCUGGUGGAGCGGUGAAAUGUGUAGAUAUCAGAAGGAACGCCGGCGGCGAAAGCGAUUCUCUGGCCUAUUACUGACACUCAGUGUGCGAAAGCUAGGGGAGCAAACGGGAUUAGAUACCCCGGUAGUCCUAGCCGUAAACGAUGGGCACUAAGUAGAGGGAAUUACCGAUGUUCUCUCUGCCGUAGCUAACGCAUUAAGUGCCCCGCCUGGGGAGUACGGCCGCAAGGCUAAAACUCAAAAGAAUUGACGGGGGCUCGCACAAGCGGUGGAGCAUGUGGCUUAAUUCGAUGCAACGCGAAAAACCUUACCGGGGCUUGACAUGGUAGAAGUAGGAACCCGAAAGGGUAACGAACGGUAUCCAGUCCGUAGCUAUCACAGGUGUUGCAUGGCUGUCGUCAGCUCGUGUCGUGAGACGUUGGGUUAAGUCCCCUAACGAGCGAAACCCUUGUUUUUAGUUACCAGCGGGUUGUGCUGGGUACUCUAGAAAGACUGCCGUCGUCAAGACGGAGGAAGGUGGGGAUGACGUCAAGUCAUCAUGGCCCUUAUGCCCCGGGCUGCACACGUGCUACAAUGGUCGGUACAAACGGAAGCGAAGCCGAGAGGUGAAGCGAAUCC